GGAAGCUUCGCAGUGGAAGCAAAGUCUUGUGAGGCUGCUAAGUCUUUUCUGGGAAUGAUGGGGCUAGAAGGGGACGCUGGGUCCCCAGAAGCUGAACUUACAUGUGGCUGUGAGUCUCUCGAUGAAAGUUCUGGGAGCGUCACUUAGAUCCUCUAGAAGAACAGAAGGUUUUCAUGACCAUUGAACACCUCCCCAGCCCCUGCCUGCUUAAAGUGGAUGCAUUUUAUUGGAUUCUUGAAAAUAUGACAUUGGACGAGAGUUAUGAAUCACAUCCUGCUUCAGCAAACCUUCGACAAGAUGAGGCAAUGUAGAAAACAGUCUUGCAAUGCGAAGGCGGGCCUAUGUGCUGCCAGUCAUUGCCGGAGACCAGGGCCGUGUGUCCUUCAGCAGCAGCUUCUGUGGUUCCAUAAGGCGGAGAAAAAGGAGACCGAUGACCACAUCUACGUGAUUCGAACUCUUGUUUUUAGAGUCCUAGAUAAAUUGAGU
rnacentral:lncRNA from 1 species